UUUAAAAUCCCUACAAUGAAUUAAUGAAAUCAAGCCAUUAUUCACACUUCAUUAUAUGGAUUGUGAUAGCUAAAAUCUAAAUACAUAUAUUUAUACGUAGAGACAUGCAUAUUACGCAAAAAAGGAGCAACCAAGUAUCUUACAUGUCCUAAUUUUCAAAGGAAAUGAAAAAUCCCAUUUUUUUACCCUAGGACAAUAUUUAACCACGGAUGCCAUGAAGCGGGUGUCAUUUACAUAGUUCACCAAAAUAUCUGGUUGACUAAUAUAGUAAUAAGUUUUUUCACUGCCAAACAAAGAUUAUGAGCAAUAAGCAAUCCGAGACUUUCAUGUUGCGUCCAGAAUGUUUGUUUAUGCUGCAGAUGAGAAAUAUAUGAGACAUCCAUAACUAAGCAUCAUGCAACUUAAACACACGAACUGAAAAAGCCCAACAACCGACCAAACCAACAUCCAGAAGAGAUUUCAGGAUCUUGGCCAUCAAAUGGCGAGGAGAAUUUGUACUGAUGCUU
rnacentral:lncRNA from 1 species